AAGAUGAGAUUUCCCAUGAUUUUAUAUCAGUAAGAGCCCUGAGAGAUGAUCAGGUUGAUAGGUUAGAAGUGGAAGUGUGGUGACACAUGUAGCGGACUAAUACUAAUAGCUCGAGGACUUAUCCAA
rnacentral:rRNA from 1 species